GACGAACGCUGGCGGCGUGCUUAACACAUGCAAGUCGAACGGAAAGGCCCUGCUUUUGUGGGGUGCUCGAGUGGCGAACGGGUGAGUAACACGUGAGUAACCUGCUCUUGACUUUCGGAUAACUUCAGGAAACUGGGGCUAAUACCGGAUAGGAGCUCCUGCUGCAUGGUGGGGGUUGGAAAGUUUCGGCGGUUGGGGAUGGACUCGCGGCUUAUCAGCUUGUUGGUGGGGUAGUGGCUUACCCAGGCUUUGACGGGUAGCCGGCCUGAGAGGGUGACCGGCCACAUUGGGACUGAGAUACGGCGCAGAGUCCUAUGGGAGGCAGUAGUGGGGAAUAUGGCACAGUGGGCGGAAGCCUGAGGCGGAGGCGCCGCGUGCGGGAUGACGGCCUUCGGGUUGUAAACCGCUUUCGCCUGUGACGAAGCGGGAGUGACGGUAAUGGGUAAAGAAGCACCGGCUAACUACGUG
rnacentral:rRNA from 1 species